rnacentral:rRNA from 1 species
CACAUGCAAGUCGAGGGAGGAGCUUUCGGGCUUCGACCGGCGUACGGGUGCGUAACGCGUAUACAAUCUGCCUUUCACAUAGGGAUAGCCCGAAGAAAUUUGGAUUAAUACCUAAUGGUAUAUAGGAGUGGCAUCACAUUUAUAUUAAAGCUGAGGCGGUGAAAGAUGAGUAUGCGUUCUAUUAGCUAGUUGGAGAGGUAACGGCUCCCCAAGGCGACGAUAGAUAGGGGUUCUGAGAGGGAUAUCCCCCGCACUGGUACUGAGAUACGGACCAGACUCCUACGGGAGGCAGCAGUGAGGAAUAUUGGACAAUGGUCGGAAGACUGAUCCAGCCAUGCCGCGUGCAGGAAGACGGCCUUAUGGGUUGUAAACUGCUUUUGCAGGGGAAGAAUAAGGAGUACGUGUACUUUGAUGACGGUACUCUGCGAAUAAGCAUCGGCUAACUCCGUGCCAGCAGCCGCGGUAAUACGGAGGAUGCGAGCGUUAUCCGGAAUCAUUGGGUUUAAAGGGUCCGUAGGCGGGCUAAUAAGUCAGAGGUGAAAGCGCUCAGCUCAACUGAGCAACUGCCUUUGAAACUGUUAGUCUUGAAUGGUUGUGAAGUAGUUGGAAUGUGUAGUGUAGCGGUGAAAUGCUU